UAGUCCACGCCGUAAACGAUGGAUACUAGCUGUUCGGACUUCGGUCUGAGUGGCCAAGCGAAAGUGAUAAGUAUCCCACCUGGGGAGUACGUUCGCAAGAAUGAAACUCAAAGGAAUUGACGGGGGCCCGCACAAGCGGUGGAGCAUGUGGUUUAAUUUGAUGAUACGCGAGGAACCUUACCUGGGCUACAAUGCCUCUGCUACUCCCUGAAAGGGGAGGUUCCUUCGGGACGUCACACAAGGUGUUGCAUGGCCGUCGUCAGCUCGUGCCGUGAGGUGUUUGGUUAAGUCCUAUAACGAGCGCAACCCCUAUGCUUAGUUGCCAGCACGUAAUGGUGGGAACUCUAAGCAGACUGCCUGCGAAAGCAGUGAGGAAGGAGGGGAUGAGGUCAGGUCAUCAUGACUUUUACGCCUAGGGCUACACACGUGCUACAAUGGCGUGUACAACGGGUCCGCUACCUGGCAACAGGAUGCUAAUCUCUUAAAACACGUACUCAGUUCGGAUUGGGGU
rnacentral:rRNA from 1 species